rnacentral:misc_RNA from 1 species
GAUGAAGAACGCAGCGAAAUGCGAUACGUAAUGUGAAUUGCAGAAUUCAGUGAAUCAUCGAAUCUUUGAACGCAUAUUGCGCUCUCUGGUAUUCCUGAGAGCAUGCUUGUUUGAGUAUCAGUAAACACCUCAACUUCCAUAUCUUUUUUGAAAUGGGAGUUUGACUUGAGUGAUCCCAACGCUUUUCCUCACCGAAAAGUGGCGGGUUACUUGAAAUGCAGGUGCAGCUGGACUUUUCUCUGAGCUAUAAGCAUAUCUAUUUAGUCUGCCUAAAAAACAGAUUAUUACCUUUGCUGCAGCUAACAUAAAGGAGAUUAGUUCUUGUGCUGACUGAUGCAGGAUUCACAAAGACAGGCUUCGGCCGACUUUGUAAACUCGAUCUCAAAUCAAGUAAGACUACCCGCUGAACUUAAGCAUAUCAAUAAGCGGAGGA